ensembl:snRNA U1 U1 spliceosomal RNA
AUACUUGCCUGGCAGGGGAGAUGCCAUGAUCAGGAAGGUGGUUUUCCCAGGGCGAGGCUUACCCAUUGUGCUCUGGAUGUGCUGAACCCUGCGAUUUCCCCAAACGUGGGAAGCUCAGCUGUAUAAUUUGUGAUAGUGGGGGACUGUGUUCGAGCUUUCCCCAG